GAUGAACGCUGGCGGCGUGCUUAACACAUGCGAGUCGAACGAUGAAGCCCAGCUUGCUGGGUGGAUUAGUGGCGAACGGGUGAGUAACACGUGAGUAACCUGCCCUUAACUCUGGGAUAAGCCUGGGAAACUGGGUCUAAUACCGGAUAGGAGCGUCCACCGCAUGGUGGGUGUUGGAAAGAUUUAUCGGUUUUGGAUGGACUCGCGGCCUAUCAGCUUGUUUGUGAGGUAAUGGCUCACCAAGGCGACGACGGGUAGCCGGCCUGAGAGGGUGACCGGCCACACUGGGACUGAGAGACGGCCCAGACUCCUACGGGAGGCAGCAGUGGGGAAUAUUGCACAAUGGGCGCAAGCCUGAUGCAGCGACGCCGCGUGAGGGAUGACGGCCUUCGGGUUGUAAACCUCUUUCAGUAGGGAAGAAGCGAAAGUGACGGUACCUGCAGAAGAAGCACCGGCUAACUACGUG
rnacentral:rRNA from 1 species